AUUGAACGCUGGCGGCAGGCCUAACACAUGCAAGUCGAGCGGAGCGGCGGACGGGUGAGUAAUGCCUAGGAAUCUGCCUGGCCGUGGGGGAUAACGUCAGGAAACGGGCGCUAAUACCGCACACUACCAGCUGAGCCUAGGUCGGAUUAGCUAGUUGGUGGGGUAAAGGCUUACCAGGGCGACGAUCCGUAACUGGUCUGAGAGGGUGAUCAGUCACACUGGAACUGAGACACGGUCCAGACUCCUACGGGAGGCAGCAGUGGGGAAGAUUGGGCAAUGGGCGAAAGCCUGAUGCAGCAAUGCCGCGUGUGUGAAGAAGGUCUUCGGAUUGUAAAGCACUGUAAGUUGGGAGGCGGUACCAACAGAAUAAGCACCGGCUAACUUCGUGCCAGCAGCCGCGGUAAUAC
rnacentral:rRNA from 1 species